rnacentral:lncRNA from 1 species
AGCCUCCCAAAGCAAGCCACAGCCAUCUUGUUAUUUUUGGAAGGUUGGCACAGGAUGCCAGGCACGGAGGCAGCUCAUGCACACUGUAACUCUUCUGCAAGCUCACCUCGUUGUUGUGGGGCAGCACCCACACCCAUCCACCUGCACCUCCCACCAGAGCUACUCCUUCAGGUUCUGUGAACUCUGGGUCCCAUAUGCGUGUUGCUCCUUAAUGAAGGGUGCAGCUCGUCCUGCAGAUUAUCCGUGGCAACACGGUUGGAAGUGGUGCAAAGCAGAUGCAAGUUCCAGUGUGAUCUCCCAUGUUCCAGUUUGUUCUUGCUCUUCUUUUCAUCCAGCUUCCUGCCCUACUGCAACCUGGCUGACCUAUGGAAAUUGUACAGACUGCUUCUUCAGUUCCCACUAUUACCUACAGUGUAACCACUACAAGAAAUUCCUUAUCUGAGACCACUCAUACCAGUUCUACUUCUUUGAUCAAAUUCUGUUAUAAUAAGGAAAAAAAGAAAAAGUAUUCAUACACAUACAGACAAGCACACACAUUGAACCUGAAAGGUAGAUGCACAUAGCAGCUAGGCCUCCUCAGGCACUGAGGGAUAGGAUUGGGGUGGAGAUUGAAAGACUCUUUAGUAUAGGGGGCUUGCGUGUGAGAGAUGUAUGAGAUGUGAAAGAUGUGAGAGUGAUGACGGGAGUAGCCUCAGGCUUAAUGGGGAAUGACCCCAUGGGCCUGGGAACAUGGGACACAAUUCCAGACACAAGAGCUCUGGAGAGUUUAACAUAGAACCUUACAUAUGUGCAAUUAGUGAACCAAAGUUUAUGUACCCGGGGCCCAUAGAAAACAUAGAAAGUGCAUAUAAGAAAAGGUAGAAAAGAGUAUGGGACUGGGAUGGAAGCAUUCUGGAAAGGAGUAGUGGACCUCUGGUAGUUUUGCCUGCCUGGCAAACAUCCCUAAUCUCCUGACAAGAAUACCAGGGUUGUUAAUGCAUACGGUGAUUCUCUGUGAAUUUAUAAGGGAUGAUCCCUCCAGGCAGAUGCCCUAGAUUGGGGCACCUGGCUUGGAGACUGGAGCAGAUCCUAGCUUCAUCCACCCAUCUGAACAUUCUGCUGGUAACUUUGUGCCAUGAACAUGCUUGACUGUGUGCCAUACCUCCCCACACAGUUCAUGUGUUUCAGGUGGAGGGGCUCAAGCCCACCUUAGGCACAGGAAUGGGCAUUUGACUGACUCCUGGCUAUAUUCCCAUAGCCAAUAAUCC